UGCACCAGUGAAUUUGUCCCCCUCUCCCUGUGACCAGCUGUUCAGUCCACAGGGCUAUCCACCUUUCUGCGUGAUGCUGGUGAUUUUAGCCUUAUUGUGUCGUGGAUAUGCUCCUGGGUCUGUCGGCUGCCCUGCUCUAGUGAUCACAGCCAUGGUGUCGGAGAAGCCGGAGGGGACAGAUGUGCUGGGCGCAGUGAAGACACGUGUAUCUGGGGUCUCUCUAAGGGACAUUCCUGCAUCUAGUUCAUGCUUUACUGGCCCCAGGCACCAGGGACAGGACGGAAGGAGGACUGACUGUUAACUCUGUACCCCUGUGGUUUACUGUGAGCAAGUUGCUGAAUUCUCCUAGCCCUGGCUUUGCCUGCCUACAAAUCCACGGCCUGAUUGAGAAGGUGAAAUGCCACACCCAGGUGCAAGAAGCCUAUUUAGAGCCUGAGGCGUCUGGAUGGCCCUUCUAGAAACCUGAUUACUCUGUUUAUGAUGACUAAGACAGCCAAGGAGAAGCCACGGCUCUGUCAAAUAGCUCAGCCCAAAAUGUGUUCCUGGAAAGACGUAAGUAAAUGACUCAGAAAGCAAAGGCCCCGGUAUAGCCUGCAUAAGACAUGAUUGCAAGGACAAAUGCAUCAUAGCCCCCCUGGGCUCUCCGAGGGAGACUGUCAGUCUGAGUUUUUUUUUCAAUAAGCAUGGAUUUUGUAAAGAGAAAUGUAUACCACACAGGAGAAGCUUCUGGAAACUCGCUGGAGCCUGGCAAAGUCUCCUUUGGUGAGAGUAGCCACCCUCGGAUGAGCUGGAUGCCUCCUCUGGAGGCAUCUAUAAGCUGGGGCAGAAGUCGAUGUCUGCUCUGAAGGGCUGCCCCCAGCCUUCACGGAGCCUAUGAGACAGUCUCCGUGGCAACUCGGCUUCUCUUCUACUGCUCCCAGUUUUGCAUUUCUGGUUUCCCAAAGAGAGGUUCGCUUUCCUUUGAUUCUGGUUGGCAGGACGAGCUAACCGGCCACCAGCACCGGACAGAAUGCACUGGCAAUGUAGGAACUGGAGGGAGUCCUUGAUCCCUCAGAUAUCCCUGGGGAGGUCCAUGUGACCAGCAAGACAUCGUGACACUCAAAAUGAUAAAAACAACCAAAUGAUGCUCUCCCCUCCUGCUGGGGUCUACAGAAAGAACCCCAGAGGCCGAGCUCAUCCUGGGAGACGCUGCAGGGCAGAAGAACCGGAUACCCCACAUUCUAGAAACUUUACAUUAUCCCCUGGCUGCCCAAGGCUGGGGGAGUCCCUGCACCCCUAAGGUUGCCUCAGCCACUCCUCCCAGGGAGUUUGUGGGCUGGGGCAUAGGGAGAAGGAAGAGAAAUUCACCAAGAAGAAUCCCUGCAAGGAGGAGCCCCCGAGAACCUGGAACCUCACCCUGACUAAACCAGUGUGGCUCAGUAGUGUGUGUGGGGGGGGGAGUCUCCCACACCCAGAGCCUUAAACCACCUCCGUUUUCCAGCAUUGUAACCUCAGGAAGGGCACCAAGUCUCUCUUGGUCCUAGCUCCUCAACUGUACAAUAAAGUAAUAACAGUGCCUACCUGUAGGGCUGUCUGGGGGACUAAAUGAACUAGUAUGAUGCAGAAAGGCUAAGAACACAUUAAGAACAAGAGAAAUGUCAGCUGUAGUUUAUAGCAUCUGGAGUCUCCAUCUCCCGCUAGCUGCCGUAGAGAAAGUCUAAUGUUUUACAAACUCCUCGCCUCUAGCCAGUCAGGCGGAGUAGUACUCAGAGAUUUUUUGUUUUGUUUUGUUUUUGAUUAACACAAAAGGUCAAAACCAUUAUUGAUGCACAUCACCACAAGGCUCAUGUUUGCCUGGCGUGUAUAUAAUUUAGAGUGCUUCCUGGGAACCUCUAGUCAUCUAAAGAGAAGCAGAUACAACAAGGCACAUCAACCCAAGGAGAACCCUGAUAUGGGAACCGGCAGAGUCACAGCUAGCACGAAGUGGUUUUCAAACCAUUCUGGGUAGCCAAAGUGGGAAGAAGGACUCAUUGUCCUGUAACAACCACUGUUAGAGCCGGCGUUGGUGGCGCACGCCUUUAAUCCCAGCACUCGGGAGGCAGAGGCAGGCGGAUCUCUGUGAGUUUGAGACCAGAGCAGGUUCCAGGACAGGCUCUGAAACAACACAGAGAAAGCCUGCCUCAAAAAACAAACAAAAACAACAACAACAAAAAGAAAAACCACUGUUAGCUCUGUACCGGACAGUAUGCAAAGCUCUGCCACACACACCGUCCGUGUACGUGACGGACACCCUGUGGUCCAUCCCAAGCCUCCCUGUCCCUCAGCCUUGGACACUGGGCUAGAAGGGUCCAAGAUGUAAGGCAUAACACAAAUAAGUUACAGGCCACGGGAACACUUAGCAGUUUUCCCUACUUCUCAAAGUCAUCAUCUGGAGAAUCACUGUCCUAUUCAAGGAGAAAGAGGAUGGCCCGCCUGUGGCCCACAGCUGUCAGCUCCAGAAGUAAGACCUGAAUUUAGAUCUCUUGACUGCUCAGCGGCCCCCACCGGAGAGUAGGAAGGAUGCCUGGGACAGACUGGGAACUGUCCUGCUCAUGUCUCUCACAGCCUCUUCUAAGUUUGCCCACAAGGGGCUCAAACGAGACCAGUUCUUCAUCUUAUACACCAACCUCAAGGUGGGGUCAAUGUGCCAGCUCUGACACCAAUUACCUGCCACCCAACCCAGCCUCCGCCAGCCUGGUCGGUCUCCUUCUUUUCGGUACCCGGAGGGAGGGCCCCAGCACAUGGCGCAGAGGUGACUCGGUGGCCCAUACUGCCUGGGAACAGUGAGGAGCAAGACUCAGAGUACCAGACCACAUAAGCGGUGACUCGACUUUAAAAAGGGACAGACCUAAUGGAAACCAUGUGUUGCUCUCCUGGGACUGACCCAAGGCUACCUUGAUCCAGGCGUGGCUCUGAGACAUGAAAGCGAGUGACAGAAACCACAAAGUUAAUUUUCACUGAAGCGUGAAUUCUUCCUAAAGGACUUCUGCUCAGCAUCAUGGAUAAAUAGAAAUCUGGGCCAGGUGGGCCUGGUGUUUGGCUAUGACUGUCACUCACUCCUGACCUAGAAGCUGUUCCACACAGCUUGCCUUUCUGAUGUUUUGUACAGAUGCACCCGACACAUGGAGAGACAGCACAUGGAGGCCUCCCAGCAGAGCUCGUGAGGAGAGAGAAGGAGGCCACAGCUGUCCUCAGAUUAGACAAGCAGAGGCAAUGGCUCAGAUGCCCACCAGACGCCCUCUGAGAGGGCUUGGCCACGUGCAUUUGUUUUUCAGCUUCGAUGACGCGUAGAAGGCAGUAACAGAAAAGCAUCUGACGCCAAGGAGAGAAAGAGGCGCUACCACUAUGGAAAAGGGAAGACACACCCUUAGGGCUUGAAGUACUGAAGUGCACGUUGCAGAGAAAGUGGACAAAGGCCAGUGCUGGUCCCCAAGAUGCCCCAGCGAGAAAAUGCUGUGGUGAUGACCCAAGCUCCGUCCUGGGAACCCACACCAAAUGCUGCAUGUGGCAGGCUACGUCUGCGCCCCAGAGCUCCGCACGCAAAAGGGGAGUGGAGAACGGCUCUGGAGCUCGCAGGACAGGACAGCUGCCUUGGAGUCCACAGCAGCAGAAGCAACAGAGACCCCACUCACCAGGUGCUGCUUGACAUCCGCCAGUCUGUCUUGACAACCCUGUAUCCGUCUUACGUGGCUACCCAGACUUGAAGUCCGAUUCCCUCGUCUCCUCUCAGUAGACUUUGGACCCAUCCCUCCCUCUGACCUCGAGCUCUUCCUCUCCUCAGAGAAAUCCCACUCACUUCUUGCUCUAUGGUGUAGUGCGUUCCAACGCCUCAGAAAAUGGUAUGCGAGACAAGACCUCCAGCCCCUGCUGGCUUCGCUGCUGUCACUGUGUACACACUACAAAUGGGCAGAUGUGUCUCACUCAAGUCACAGAGGCACAUCUGGAUGACACGAGCUGAGCAGCAGUGAAAAAUGCCCUGUGCUGUGACUCCCGCUUAAGGAGGAGCUGUAUUAUGCUCUGGGGCAGGAUGGGCAAGGGCUGCUGUGACCGCUGGCUGUGACUGAGUCUCUCCUUUGUCACUCUACCUAGGUGAUCUGCUCAUAUGUCUGGUCCUAAUUUUUUCUUACCUGUGAAAAGAAGGUAAUGACAGUAUCUACCUUUCGAGAACAUGGGGGAGCAUGCCUACAACCCCAGAAUUCAGGAAGGCAGAGGCUAGCCUCAGCUACAAAAUGGUCCAAGAUCAGCCCCAGCUGAAUGAGACCCAGUCUCAAAAUGCAAUAAAUCAACAAUAAAAACCAACCCCCUUCCA